UACGGAGGGUGCAAGCGUUAAUCGGAAUUACUGGGCGUAAAGCGCACGUAGGUGGUUUGUUAAGUCAGCUGUGAAAUCCCCGGGCUCAACCUGGGCACUGCAGUUGAAACUGGCAAGCUAGAGUAGGGUAGAGGGGUGUGGAAUUCCAGGUGUAGCGGUGAAAUGCGUAGAUAUCUGGAGGAACAUCAGUGGCGAAGGCGACACCCUGGACUCAUACUGACACUGAGGUGCGAAAGCCGGGUGGGACGCAAACGGAUUAGAACCGUCCGUGUCA
rnacentral:rRNA from 1 species